rnacentral:rRNA from 1 species
CUCUUGGGGCUUCGGUUUCAAGGGAGUGGCGCACGGGUGAGUAGCGCGUGGGAACCUGCCCUGUUGUGGGGGACAACCGAGGGAAACUUCGGCUAAUACCGCAUACGCCCGGCGGACCUCGAAAGGGGGAAACCGGGGAAAGAUUUAUCGCAGCAGGAGGGGCCCGCGUCGGAUUAGCUUGUUGGUGGGGUAACGGCCUACCAAGGCUUUGAUCCGUAGCUGGUCUGAGAGGAUGAUCAGCCACACUGGGACUGAGACACGGCCCAGACUCCUACGGGAGGCAGCAGUGGGGAAUAUUGGACAAUGGGCGCAAGCCUGAUCCAGCAAUGCCGCGUGAGUGAUGAAGGCCUUCGGG